GAAGGAAAUUAAGUACGGAAGUUCCUGAUUUCACGCUGUCAAGAAAAGCCUCUAGGAAGAGUAGUACUGCCCGUACCGCAAACCGACACAGGUAGAUGAGGAGAGAAUCCUAAGGUGAGCGAGAGAACUCUCGUUAAGGAACUCGGCAAAAUGACCCCGUAACUUCGGGAGAAGGGGUGCUCUAUUAGGGUGCAAGCCCGAGAGAGCCGCAGUGAAUAGGCCCAGGCGACUGUUUAGCAAAAACACAGGUCUCUGCAAAACCGUAAGGUGACGUAUAGGGGCUGACGCCUGCCCGGUGCUGGAAGGUUAAGAGGAGUGCUUAGCUUCGGCGAAGGUACGAAUUGAAGCCCCAGUAAACGGCGGCCGUAACUAUAACGGUCCUAAGGUAGCGAAAUUCCUUGUCGGGUAAGUUCCGACCCGCACGAAAGGCGCAACGAUCUGGGCACUGUCUCAACGAGAGACUCGGUGAAAUUAUAGUACCUGUGAAGAUGCAGGUUACCCGCGACAGGACGGAAAGACCCCGUGGAGCUUUACUGCAACCUGAUAUGGAAUGUUUGUACCGCUUGUACAGGAUAGGUAGGAGCCGAAGAGACGUGUGCGCUAGCAUACGAGGAGGCAAUGGUGGGAUACUACCCUGGCUG
rnacentral:rRNA from 1 species